rnacentral:ribozyme from 13 species
AAAAAAGAAAGGAGAAAAAAAAGAAACACACAACCAUGAAAUUUUCCUCUUCCUUUUCCCUCCUCUUUCUCUUCUUCCUCUCUCUUUCUUUAACACAAUGUCACACAAUUGAAGAAAAAACAAGAAAAGAAAGGUUCUCUUUGGAUGGAUUGCACGAUCCAAUCCCAGUUGUUCAUGAAAGAGAAAGAAGAGACGUUUU